AGGACACGCAGAAACAGCACCCUCCUGGAGAAAGGGCCCCACUCAGCCUGCCCUGGCCUUGCUGGAGGUGGGGCUUUUCGGGAAAAGAACGAGGAGGCUGAAGACAGGAAAGCCAGCGGGUGGGGAGGCUGGGACCCUGGGGGAGGGGUGGGAACAUUGUGAAGGCCACACCCCAAGCCCUGGGGCCCUGUAUUGGGUCUUUGUUGCAUUGCUAUAAAGAAAUACCUGAGACUGGGUGAUUUAUAAAGGAGAGAAAUUCGACUGGCUCAUGGUUCUGCAGGCCGUACAGGAAGCCUGGUGCUGGCAGAUCUGCUUCUAGGGAGUUCUCAGGAAGCUUCUGGUCAUGGUGGAAGGCAAUGCGGAGCCAGCGAGUCACAUGAUGAGACCCCGAGCAAGAAAGAGAGGCCGGGAGGUGCCACACUCUACAACAACCAGAACGUGCCUGUGUAAUCAGAACCCAGAAAAGGGAAAAGAGCAUUCUUCACCACACAGAAGUCCUGGUGACAGUCUUUCUAGUUAUCGGCCCACUGCAAGGGUAACCCUAUCCAAACUGCGUUGAUUAGGUUUUCAUAUUUCAUAGAAAUGGAUUCAUACACUACUUGCUCUUUUGUGUCUGGAUUUUUCAUCAUGCAACAUUAUUUCUCAACCUGGAGCUGUGCGGACUGAGACUGAGAUGCAUCGCUGAAACUCUCUUUAGGUGUUCCCUACCAUUUCUUCUUGGAAAAGAAGGUUUUACCUCCUGGGAUUUUUGAGAACCUCUAACUUCUCCAUUGGGGACCAUCUCCAGGUACCACCAAAAAAGAGCACAACAGCAGCCUUGCGGAUAAGUCCUGGUCUGGAGUCAGCCACCGCUGCACACACCACUCAGAGCUGCAUCAUCGGGUUACCCCUGGAAAGGCUGCCCACACACCCACAUCCAGGGGUGUCUCGUCACUGCUGACGACUAGCACGGUGAAUGUUCUGCUUCGUGGAGAGACUAUCAGAGCUGGAAUAUCCAUAGGCUUAUAAUCUUCAUGAAUACUUCCUCUCUCAAUUGCCGUGAAAUAAUAUGGCUCCUCAGUCCAUGAAGCUGGCAUCAAUAACUGAAAUAGGCUCGGAAAAGUCCGGGCAAGAGGAACCUGAAAGCUCAGCAUGAGAUGAAGUGGCUGGAGGCACGUGAGUCCUGCACUGAUAGAGGCCGGUUCUGUCAAGCCUCACCUGGAUGAUGUGUGUGACUCUUCCCAUAGAAAGGAGCAGGCUCUCUCAUGAAGCCUCCAUUCUAGCAUUUUGUGAUCAUCUAUGACCUUAGAGGGGUCCUCUAUAACCCUGAGUCCCAAACAGGUGAAUACAGAGUGGGCUCACACUUAUUUCUCCAUUAUUCCUGUGUUCUUUCAGGAGGCUGACCAUCAAACCUACUUAGAAGUCAGACCUUGAAUAGGCUGAAUAUGAUCUCAGAAGGAGGCAGAACCAGCAGGAAUGGGGGGCGUCGUCCACUCGGAGUCAUUCCGCGGGGCUCCCUGCCUCGUUCUUUCUCUUUGUCCUUGUUACGUAAAAUGUCUUUCACUCUCAACCUGAUUUUUAUUCUAUAAGUAUAAGCUUGGUUUCCGUCAUUAAAUGCAUGACAUGUGGUGUUGGUUUACAAUGUUUGAUGCUGUACUCUGUCUGCGGCUCCAUGUGAUCUUUUUGAAUGACCAUAGACAUGCCUAAUGCUGCCUUCAUACUCUAUACAGACAUUCAGUGAACCUCUAUUAAAUCAAUAAAUGUCGAGUGAUGUUACCAUACCCUUCCUGGGUACCACUUCCAGUCAAGGGUGCUUGCCCA
rnacentral:lncRNA from 10 species